UCUCUGCUUCCUCAAGGUUUAAGGCUUCCAUUCUCAUUUUGCCAGUUGAGAGCUACGAAACUGAAGGUAUAAGUUGUAGUAUAAGAACCAAAGGAGGUGUUGAAGUUCAUUGCUGCGAGCUUCCAUAUCACUUUUUGCGUGUUCGGUCAGAACACCUGUUUAUAUUUCAUGGUGACUUGUUUCCCCAAGGAAACAAAUACCAUGAAGUGGAUGUGACUAUGAGCGAGAUUACAUUUGAGUUCAGCCACACUAAAAUCGGUGACAAGAUUAUUGAGUGUGGUGUACAGAUCAUGACAGAGGGAGCUGAGGGUGACAGUAGCAGGGAAUUGGAAGUUUUGAAACUGAGAGUAGCAGCAGCCCAGUUGGGAGAUUUGUUGGGAAAUUUGAAUUUGGAGGCAACAACAAUCACCACACAGAUGGAAAUGGAGAUGGAAACUAUGAAGCAGAAGGUUCCAAGUUCUCUCAAGAUGAAAACAUCAAAACCAGCAAACGUUGGUUUUAUGAGUUGGCUUCGGAAGCUUGGUCAGUGAAGAAGAUGAAUUCUCAUGGAGUCUCAUGAAGACCAAACCAGUUUUUGGCACUUUCUUAGCUCCUUAAUCAUCUUCAUAAGGUACUCUCUCUUAAAUAACAGAUGGAGAUGGAGAAUAUGAGCCUGAAGCUGUUAAGCUCUGUAAAUGUAGAUGAAAACAUCCUUGGUUGUUGGAUUUAGUUUGGGAAGUUUAAGGGUAGACGAAGAAGUACAAAACAUGCAACUUAGGUCGUAGGUCUUCCCAUUAACCAGCAUAAGUAUUUGGCAUACACUAGAGACCAGUUUCCUUAAUUUCUGUUGUUGAUGUGUUGUGUGGAUUGCUGUAGAAGAUAUAUUGCUCUGUUCUUUAGUCGUCGCGAAUUCUUUGGGAACAAUCUUAAGAGAUGGAUUUAUCUGAGUUUGCAGAGUGAUGUUAGAAUUGAUUCUGGUUAGAAUGUAGAUUGCCUUAGCCAUAGAACGUAAACGUUAGAAGCUUAUGUGAAUCAAGCUAUCAACGCUUAACAUUAUAUUCUUUCUGUUUCAGGUAGGAGAUUGGGAAUUUCGACGCAGCACCUGAUUCUCCAGUGAUCAAAUCUAAGUCCACACAAAGAGACCAUAUUGUCCAAUCAGUUCCAGAUACUUGGUGCAUUGCCUUCUGUUGUGAGCAUAAAACGGCAAACCCUAUGAAAGAAGGUUGAUAGCAUUAGAGAAAACAGAGCAUUGCAGCUCACACAGUCCACCCAUGAACUGAUGAUUUUUCCGGAUUGAUUGCAUCUUAGAAUCAUAAUCCUGUUUCCAUUGGCCUUAAUUAGCUGUUUAAGUACUAAGAAAAGUCUUGUUACCUUGUGAUCUAGUUAAUUAGCUGUUUAAAUACUAAGAAAAAUCUUGUUACCUUGUGAAUUACUUAAGAAUCAUAAUCUUACAUUAGUGAGUUACUUUAUACAGUCUACAAUUGGCCUUGAACUUACAUUCAGGGAGUGAUAUGGCGGCUGAGACUGGUCUAUAAAAGCUGCUCCUGGUUCAAGCCUCCUAAAAUGGUCAUUUGAAUGAAUCUUGUAUUAUUGAUUCGUGUUUUUACUUUCUACUUUUUAGUAAUUACUUUUUGCCAGAUUGAUUGAUCUUAUAAUCAUAACAAUUGUAACUCUGUAAUAACUUUCUUCAACAUCUCUUUUACUAUGAAACCAAGAAUAGUAGCAGCAACCAACCAAACCAAUAAUAAACAUCAAAUCUUUAAGAAAUAAUAUUCGGAUUACCCAAAUAAUCAAACCUUAAGGAUGGGGUCUCAACGACUUUUGGGGGAAACAUUUUGUUUUUGUAUUUUUCUCUACAGUGACAAAUUCCUUUGAAAUUUCAGUUCCGUAUAUAGCUUAUCCAAAACAUCAAAUUAAGCAUCGUGAUCCAUAAUUAGAAGCUUGUCAUUCCCAAAAGCAGAAUUUAGUUUCUUGUCGAAUAGGUAAAUAUCAAAUUUCAACGUUUGCAAAGAAAGUUUGGUUCUUCAUUCUUGAUGUUCAAAUGGUCAAUUCGAUAUUAUUGUUAAUUAACUUAAUACAAAUAUUCUCCUUUUCAAACCAAAUAUUCAAUAAUAAUAUGUACGAAAAUAGUCAUUGGUCCUCGACGACUAUAACAAAACACAGAGUCGUCGAAAUUUCUCUUCUCCUUUUCGUAUUUUUUCAGUUCCAGUUACAUUCCAAUUUCUUCGAAACUUCUCUUCUCAUUUUACGCGUUUUUGCUUCAAUAAAUAAUCCAAAGGAUCGGAGCUUGCUUUUCAAAUCAUACUUUCUUCAAUACCAGUCUAAGAAUACUUUCUUCAAGUUCAAGCAUUUGUGAUCUCUCAUGGCUUUGUCUUCUUCUUUGUCUUGCAUCAAGAGAUACCAAGUCUUUUCGAGCUUCCACGGUCCAGAUGUCCGUAAAGGGUUUCUCAGUCAUUUACACAGUGUCUUUGCAAGCAAAGGUAUCACGACUUUCAAUGAUCAGAAGAUCGACAGAGGCCAGACGAUCGGACCUGAGCUCAUACAAGGGAUUAGAGAAGCUAGAGUCUCGAUCGUUGUGCUCUCGAAGAAGUACGCUUCUUCCAGCUGGUGUUUAGAUGAACUUGUGGAAAUCUUGAAGUGCAAAGAAGCUUUGGGGCAGAUUGUGAUGACUGUUUUUUACGAAGUUGAUCCGUCAGAUGUUAAGAAACAGAGUGGAGUGUUCGGGGAAGCUUUUGAGAAGACUUGUCAAGGGAAAAAUGAGGAGGUGAAGAUCCGAUGGAGAAAUGCUUUGGCACAUGUCGCUACCAUUGCUGGGGAACACUCUCUUAAUUGGUAUGUCUCAAUGAAUUUAGUGCUUUUUAUUUUUCUCAAGCAAUUUGUUUUCGUAAAUUUAGACCAACCAGAUCUAUUUGGUUUUGCUUUUGUUAGGGAUAAUGAAGCAAAGAUGAUCCAAAAGAUUGUUACAGAUGUUUCAGACAAACUGAAUCUCACACCGUCGAGGGAUUUUGAGGGGAUGGUAGGGAUGGAAGCUCACUUGAAAAGAUUGAACUCUUUGUUAUGCCUGGAAAGUGAUGAAGUCAAGAUGAUUGGAAUUUGGGGUCCUGCAGGGAUUGGUAAGACUACCAUUGCUAGAACUUUAUUCAACAAAAUCUCUAGUAUUUUUCCGUUUAAAUGUUUUAUGGAGAACCUCAAGGGAAGUAUUAAGGGUGGUGCUGAACAUUAUUCCAAGUUGAGCUUGCAAAAGCAACUUCUGUCUGAGAUUUUGAAGCAAGAGAAUAUGAAGAUACAUCAUUUAGGCACAAUCAAACAAUGGCUACACGAUCAAAAAGUGCUCAUCAUUCUUGACGAUGUAGAUGAUCUUGAGCAAUUAGAGGUAUUGGCUGAAGAUCCUUCUUGGUUUGGUUCUGGCAGUCGGAUCAUCGUUACCACAGAAGAUAAGAAUAUUUUGAAGGCACAUAGGAUUCAGGAUAUCUACCAUGUGGAUUUUCCAUCCGAGGAAGAAGCUCUUGAGAUCUUAUGUCUCUCUGCAUUCAAACAAAGCUCUAUACCAGAUGGUUUUGAAGAGCUUGCCAAUAAAGUAGCUGAGCUUUGCGGCAAUCUUCCAUUAGGCCUUUGUGUCGUGGGUGCAUCUUUGCGUCGGAAGAGCAAGAACGAGUGGGAACGUCUAUUAUCUAGGAUCGAAUCUAGUCUUGAUAAAAAUAUUGAUAACAUAUUAAGAAUCGGAUAUGACAGAUUGUCAACGGAAGAUCAAUCUCUAUUCCUUCACAUUGCAUGCUUCUUCAACAAUGAAAAGGUUGAUUAUUUGACAGCCUUGCUAGCUGACAGAAAGUUGGAUGUUGUAAAUGGUUUCAAUAUCCUAGCCGAUAGAUCUCUCGUGCGUAUAUCUACCGAUGGGCAUGUAGUGAUGCACCACUAUCUACUACAAAAAUUGGGUAGACGGAUAGUUCAUGAACAGUGGCCUAACGAGCCCGGGAAACGUCAAUUUUUAAUUGAGGCAGAAGAGAUUCGUGAUGUACUAACAAAAGGAACAGUAAGUUUAAGUUCGUACAUAUAUAAUUCUAGAUAUUGCCUAUUUUUAGUGAUAACAAUCUCAUCAGUCUUCUUUGGGAAUAUUUUGUAGGGUACUGAAUCUGUCAAAGGUAUAUCAUUUGAUACAUCCAAUAUCGAAGAGGUUUCGGUAGGUAAGGGGGCUUUUGAAGGAAUGCGUAAUCUCCAAUUCCUAAGAAUCUAUAGAGACUCUUUCAAUAGUGAAGGUACUUUGCAAAUACCAGAAGAUAUGGAGUAUAUACCUCCUGUUAGGUUACUACAUUGGCAAAAUUACCCAAGAAAAAGUCUUCCUCAGAGAUUCAACCCGGAACAUCUCGUCAAAAUUCGUAUGCCAAGCAGCAAGCUCAAGAAGCUCUGGGGAGGAAUCCAGGUUGGUAUUUGGUUAUUCUUUCUUGUGCUUCUAAUGAUUCAAUUUAAAUAAAUAUGAUAUUUUCUCAUUUGUUGUGUUUAACAUGCAGCCCCUUCCUAAUCUCAAGAGCAUAGAUAUGAGUUUUUCCUAUAGUUUGAAAGAAAUCCCAAAUCUUUCGAAAGCCACUAAUCUCGAGAUAUUGAGUCUUGAGUUCUGCAAAAGUUUGGUGGAGCUUCCCUUUUCUAUUUUGAAUCUACACAAACUGGAGAUUCUGAAUGUUGAAAACUGCUCUAUGCUAAAAGUUAUUCCCACCAACAUCAACUUAGCAUCUCUUGAGAGACUCGACAUGACUGGUUGCUCGGAAUUGAGAACUUUUCCAGAUAUCUCCAGCAACAUCAAGAAACUCAAUCUCGGAGAUACAAUGAUAGAAGAUGUCCCUCCAUCAGUUGGAUGUUGGUCUCGUCUUGAUCACCUUUACAUUGGCAGCAGAAGCCUCAAGAGAUUGCAUGUACCACCAUGUAUAACUUCGCUAGUUCUUUGGAAAAGUAAUAUAGAGAGUAUUCCAGAAAGCAUCAUAGGUCUCACUCGUCUAGAUUGGCUGAAUGUCAAUAGCUGCAGAAAACUCAAGUCAAUUCUGGGUCUCCCCUCCUCCCUCCAGGACCUAGAUGCAAAUGAUUGUGUAUCACUCAAGAGAGUAUGCUUCUCUUUCCAUAACCCAAUCAGGGCACUCAGUUUCAACAACUGUUUGAAUCUGGAUGAAGAAGCAAGAAAAGGAAUCAUACAACAAUCAGUGUACAGAUACAUAUGCUUACCAGGUAAAAAGAUCCCUGAAGAGUUCACUCACAAAGCAACAGGGAGAUCCAUAACCAUCCCUCUGUCCCCUGGUACUCUCUCUGCUUCCUCAAGGUUUAAGGCUUCCAUUCUCAUUUUGCCAGUUGAGAGCUACGAAACUGAUGAUAUAAGUUGUAGUUUAAGAACCAAAGGAGGUGUUGAAGUUCAUUGCUGCGAGCUUCCAUAUCACUUUUUGUUGCGUUCUCGGUCAGAACACCUGUUUAUAUUUCAUGGUGACUUGUUUCCCCAAGGAAACAAAUACCAUGAAGUGGAUGUGACUAUGAGCGAGAUUACAUUUGAGUUCAGCCACACUAAAAUCGGUGACAAGAUUAUUGAGUGUGGUGUAC
rnacentral:lncRNA from 1 species